UUUGUAAAGUGCUGCUCCUCUUACUGGAAUGUGGAAAAGCUUAUUAAGCCUCCCAUUCCGUACACACCCAGUUCUAUUCUGCCCAUAUAUAUCCUCAUUCUCCUCCCAUCACAUGUACAUUCAAAAGAUUGGUGGAACCAACAAGGCUGAAGUGUCAGAGCUGACAGACCUCAUUCACUGCAGAGACACAGACCGGAGCUCAAGGAUCUGGUGACUACUGUCUGUGGACACAGCUUCUGCAAGAGCUGUAUUAACACCCACUGGGACAAAGAGGAGGAGAGAGGAAGCUACAGCUGUCCUCAGUGUAGACAGACCUUCACACAGAGGCCUGUCCUGGAGAAAAGCACCAUGGCAGAUUUAGCGGAGGAGCUGAAGAACCUUGGACUCCAAGAUGCACCAGAGAGCACUGAGAGGGAGAGAGAGCUUGGGCUGCCACAACCAGAGCCGGAGCCGGAGCCACAACCGGAGCCGGAGCCGGAGCCAGAGCCAGAGACCAGAGCUGACUUCUUAAGAUAUUUACAGGAAAUCACACUGGAUCCAAACACAGUACACAAAUGUCUGUUAUUAUCUGAGGGAAACAGAGUUGAACGUAUGAGAGACCAACGGCCUUAUCCUGAUCACCCAGACAGAUUCACUAAUAAGUGUCAGGUCCUGAGUAAUAAGAGUCUGAAGUCACCUUGUUACUGGGAGGUGGAGGUGAGAGGAACAGUUGGUGUAGCAGUCACUGACAAUAAUAUCAGUAGAGAAGGAAACUCUGAUGAGUGUAGAUUUGGAUACUAUGCUAAUUCUUGGAUGUUAAGUUGUAAUAAAGACAGUUAUGACUAUGUUCACAAAAGCAUCAAGAAUCAAGUGUCAGGUCCUGUGUCCUCCAGAGUAGGAGUGUAUCACAGGGCAGGUGUUCUGUCCUUCUACAGCGUCUCUGACACCAUGACUCUCCUCCACAGAGUCGAUACCGAAUCCACUCAGCCUCUCUAUGCUGGAGUUUGGCUUAAUUUAUUUGGAUCCAAAGCUGAGUUCCGUUAACUCAAAUAGACUCGAGUCAUUAAAAGCAGUGAUUUAGAUUCUGUGUGUACAUCUUUAACUUCUCUUGUCUCCAUGUUUGUUGAUCAAAGUUCUUCGUGGUGACGUUUCUGCUCUGCACAGAGAUCAGCUGUCAAUCAAACACUGACCUUCCUUUAUCACACAUAUUUACUUAUCACUUUGUAAAGACACAAAUCUAUAAUUACACUGACAUGAAUGUGUUUGAAAUAUCUAAUGUUGCUGUUGUUUUCUGAAUCAAUGUAGAAAUCAGGUUGUGGGAUGUUUUAGAACCUGUGUUGAUCCUGAUCCUCAUCAAUGAGAUGAUUAUUUGUUCUUUUCUUUUCCACAUGUGAGAUGGAGGUGAAACAAACUGAUUGUGUUUCAAUGAACUCACUGAACAAGAGUCACUGAACAGACUUUACUGAUGAAAUGUGUGAACGAAGGUUUGAAUAAAGAAUAAUGUUCCUUAA